UCCCAGCGGUCCGAGUAGCAGCCACUUUUAUUGGGUCUAAAACAUCCGUAGCUUGCAUUGUAAGUCUCUUGUGAAAUCUGGCCUCUUAAGGGUCGGGCGGGCAAGAGAUACUGCUUUGCUAGAGACUGGGAGACGUAAGAAGUACGCACAGGGUACCGGUAAAAUGGGUUGAUCCUGUGUGGACUAACGACAGCGAAGGCAUCUUACGAGAACGGAUCUGACAGUGAGGGAUGAAGGCUAGGGGCGCAAAUUG
rnacentral:rRNA from 1 species